GUAUUGUGUGUCGAUUUAUGAGGGGUAAAAAAAUAUUUGAUCAAUUUUAGAAUAAGGCUGUAACGUAACAAAAUGUGGAAAAAGUCAAAGGGUCUGAAUAUUUUCCGGAGGUACUGUAUAUAACUUUGUAUUCUUUCUUUUAUCCAGUUGACCUCAGGUGAUUGUUUUGUGUACCAGGUGGGUGAAAGGUCACCACAUUCACUGCUAUCUACUCUCUACUCCUGGACCCAAUGGAGCGCGCUGCGGAACUUUUUCAUUUCACCACCGGCCCUCGCAAAGGUCAAUACAAGGGAAUGGCAUUUAUGGCUGGUCCCCCCGUUUUAAUGUGUUUCAGCUUGCAAAGACGUUGACGAAGCUUCAGGCGUGGUGGAGGACUAGGGAGAAGGAAGGGGGU
rnacentral:lncRNA from 1 species